AAAUUCAUCUUUGAUCACAGGAAUAAAUUACGUUUUAAAUAUAUAUUCAAAUAGCAAGCAGUUAUUUUAAAUAGUAAAAAUAUUUCACAAUAUUACUGCUUUUGCUGUAUUUUGGAUAACAUAAAUGCAGGCUUGGUGAGCAGAAGAUAAUUCUUAAAAAAAAAAACAUUCAAAAUCUUACUGUUCAAUAACUUUUGACUGCUAGUGUAGAUAUGUAUCAUUGCAUCUAGUUGUUUUGGAUAAUAAAAAAAAAACGUCAGGUCUGACAAUACCGUGUCUUUUCGAAUUUAAAUCUAGAUUUAUUUGCAUUGGUCCAUGGAAACCUCUAUGAGCACACUUGACAUGACUUGGCCAAAGAAUCGCAGUGAACGAAUUUACAUUUUAUUAAAAAGUGUUUGUGUAUUCUGCACUAAUGGCGCGUGCACACAGGAUAGAUGCCUGACUCCGCUGCGAGUCCCGAUCAAGCACUUUACCGAUUCAACUGCUCUCCUCUCCUCCGCCUGUCUGGCUCUUUACCCGCAUCACUCACCGCAGAGCAAGCCUGUUCUUGAUAAAGCUACUGUGAAAACGUGGCAAAAGCCGACGAGGAAGAAGUUAGGGUGAAGCGUUCUUUAUAUAGGCGGAGACUCCGUCUAUAGCGCAUUGUGAUUGUGUGGUUUACGCUGUCAAUAGAGGAGACAAACCAAUGGGCCACUGGCUGCUCGUGAUGGUCCUUGGCAAAAGAAAUAAAAAAUUCUGUUGGCCCCUUCUGUGCGUCGGCCCACCGGGAAAAUGCCCGGUAUGCCAGAUUACCAGUCCAGCCCUGGUGUGCACUCACAAUAAUAAAAUAAACUUUUUAUAAAAUAAAUAAAAUCAUUUGAUAAAAUAAAGAAAACAAUGAUGCGCCGUCUUGUCUUGAACAGGAGCGCUUCACAAAAAUGAACCGAAAGUCAAUACAUGCCUCACAGACAUGAUAAAUAUAUCUAUAGAAAGCUUUAAAUUACUACUUAACGAAAUCAAUCAAAUCGAAAACAAAAACUCUUUCAUUAUAAUCCGUGAAGAUGCACUUCUCUCUAAAGGCGCGUCUAAUGAGGAGAUGGCGAGUCAGGAUCAUCAUCUUCAUCUUUGCGACACUGACACAGAAAACACUAGUUUAUUAGUAAAUAAUUCAAAUAUCUCCUUACUAUUUCCCCCGGACACAUUCAUGGUAAUUACUUUUGCUGGGGCUUUGCUGCAAGCUUCAGCGUAUUGUGUGUAUUUGAAGCAGAACUCUUCAGCUGCGCUGACGGCUCUCUGCUGCUGCGGGACUCUAAACACCGUCGAGCCGCUCUUCACAGUCGCAGCACGGUCUCGUGUUGUUUCCACCAGCGCGGCAAUUGUAUUCAUCACUAAUUGAUGGAUGUCUAAAAUAUAAAAAUAAGGAGAAGCCUAAAACAGGCCCGAGGCCCGGCCCGCCCCAGCAAACAAUGACCUGGCGGUCCACCAGCGUUUUUUGGGUGGCACAAAUUCAGCGGCUUAAUACGGUCGGACCACCGUCGGCACACCAUCGGCUAGCCGACCAAUCUAAAAACGCUGUCAGCGUUUUUUUGGGUGGCACGCCACCUGCUGUUUGCCGCGGCUGGGCCUCCGUCGGUGCACCAGUGGCAAGCCGAGGUUCUGUGUAUCUACUGAGCUCUUACAUGACAUCUUUGUUUUAUAAAUUAUGUAUAUAUUACAUUUAUGUAUUGCAUUACAUUUUUACAGUUAAAAGGAAUCUGAAGCACUGAAUAAAAAUAGUGAGAGUUAUAGUUUAGUAUAAAAACUGCAAGCACAUUUUUAAAUGAAAUAAAUAGUUUGAAUGAUCGUAAAAACAACAAUACAAAAUCUAAUAAAAAAAAUAGCAAAAAUAAAAUAAAAUAAAAAUUAAAUAAAAAUAAAAAUAAAUGUGCUAAUUUGUCCCACUAUCACGUGCGGGUUGCAGUUUACACCUAUGUAUGAAUGGGUCAUAUAACUACAAAACGAUUAAAAUUCUAAAUUAAAUACUUUUUUUGUUGUUAUUGUUGUUUAUGUUCUAUAUAAAGUUUAUUUAAAUGGUGCGUGACUGUGACGUGUUUUGAUGGACGCGCGCUCCGAGUCUCAUUCAAACGCUGCAGGGAGGGAGUUACCAUGGAAACGGGGCGGCAACUCUCCAACUGACAGCUGCAACACUGCGUCUCUCGCUGCUGUUUUCACCGUUUUCAGGAGUAACACUUCUACAACAGAAGAGAAGCUCCAAGGUAUCUACAUUUCUGAAGGAAGCUGCUGACAGAGAUGUGGGAGACAUAGGUUUCCAUCCCAGUGUUACUACAGCUUGGAUCCAGCCUCACUUGUGGUGACUUCAGAUGAUGACCCAGAUGAUGGCAACUAUAGAUGAACAUAGCAACCUGACAAAUGUUAUGUAUUGUAAUCAUUGCCUUAAAGCAUACAUUGAGUGAUUUUCAACCCACUUUGUAUUGUUACUAUGAUGGUGAUAUAUGUGAACGAACAAUGUUUAAUCUUUCUCUGAGUUCCAUGAGAUACACCCAUUUAUUUGUCAGCCAAAUAAUAUUUUGCGUUAUCCAAAUAUUGUUUAUUUACAUAUUACAGACUUUGUGGCAGUAUAAAGUGGAUUUAAAUUCCCCGAACCUACCCUUUAAUGGUUGUCUGUUUAACUGAACAUGACUUUGAACACAUAACUUGUAUUAUCUUAGAGUUAUAGACAUUAAUUUGUUGCCAGAAGAUGCUCCCCAUUGAGUCACAGUCACCUCAGGCUGUUGAUGGGAUUUUUUUUUUUUUUUUAAACCUUGACAUUUUCUAAAGCUGCUUUGAUUGUGAAAAGCAGUGUAGCCUUACAACAGUCAACCAUGUUUUUACUAUGGUAAAACUAGUAGAACCAUGAUAUCAAAACCUUAGUUUGAGAAAACUAAAACCCUGAUUACUACAGACAUGAUUACUAAAGUAAUAUUUUAGUAAUGCUGGAGUAAAACUGUGGUAACCAUAGUUUUUGAAACCAUGGUGAAGUUUGUAGUUACUAUAGGUUUACUACUAUGCUGUAGUAAGACCAUGGUUAUGGCAGUUACUGUGAAUUUACUACAACAAUCAUAGUUAAACUAUGGUUAAUUUUGUGGUUGACUUUUGUAGGGUACAAAUAUGUGAAUUGAAUGCUUCUAUUUGAAAGUCACAUUGGAUAAA